GAUAGUCAAGUAGUUCUGUGAGCAAAAGAUCUAACAGUGCCUCAUUUUCUAUGUAGUAUCUUAGAGGAAAUGAAAACUACCUGCUGCAGCUGGGGUACUUACAAGGUGUCUCUUAGUUCAAUCUCCUCAGAUAAACUGGAAAUUUUCAAUAAUGGCAAUACAUUCAUUCUGCCAUUUGGAGGAGCCUGUGCCACAGAGUAAUGAUCUGAAGAAAGCUCACUUACUUGCAAAGAAGAGUCUUCAUUUGGGAAGUAGUUCUGAUGCGGCUAAGAGGUGCUUUGUCGAGUUCAGAACCUCCUGUUUGUGGUGAAAAUUGAGGUUUCCUCAAAGACAGUCCCAUAUCUGAAGAGUGAGAAGCACUAGGUCUUUGACAUUCAGUGGGAUGAGAAUCUCAGAACAGACUGACUACUGGGGACACCCAAGCUACAGUUCAGGUAAAUAACUUCUUUGGAGGAGGAACUUAAAGGUUUCUUCUUUUGAAAAUUAUGAUAAUUAAGCACCAAAGGGUGAAAUUUAAACUAUAAAUAUUUUUCACU
rnacentral:lncRNA from 14 species